UGGAGCCACACAGAACAUUGAGA
rnacentral:piRNA from 1 species